UAAAUCCGCCAUUGUGGUUGCAAGUGCUGCCCCGUGCGAUGUUCAAAAAACGUCCUAGACGCCAUCUUGUGACGUCAGGUCGCCCCUCAGCCUGACUGCUCGGGAGCGGGACUAGAUCCGACCAGUAGGGAUGGGCAAGUACCGUUAAUUUGAGUACCGGUAGUACCGGUACCGAAAACUCAAGUACCGUUAGUACCGGUACCGGUACCGGUACCCAAAGGAGUUUUUUUUUUCUUAAUGACUUCUGAUGAAAUUCCCAAACAAAUUUCCUGUAAAGAAAACCCUCUCUCUUCCUUCAACUUAAUAUCAACUAGAGUAGAAAUGCAACGUUUAGGAGCCUUCUGAUUAAUGUAAAAUCACUUAGGUUUAAGGACAGAUCACCUACUCUGUACCAGUUUCCGUCCUAGGCUCCUAGCCCGUCGCCAUUGAAGGAGUGUUUCCGCCUCAUCCACAUCUCCACCUCUAUACACAAUAUAAGAUGGAGCUUGUUGCGGCAUACAUUUUCAAUCGCAGACUGUGCAGGGAAAGGAGAUAUCGGGACCCACUCGACCCACUACAUGUCAGUGAUGAACACCUGUUGCAGGUGUAUAGAUUUCCCCGUCAGGAAAUCAUCAGGCUCUGUGAUGAGUUUCACCCCCACCUGGAAAGGAGAACCAGGAGGGCACAUGCACUCCCAACACACACCCAGGUUCUGGCUACACUAAGUUUUUUUGCGAGUGGCAGCUUUCAAGGUGUUAUUGGAAAUGGUGUUGGAAAUAACCAAUCAAGGGCCAUUGAUAAAGUAACUCGGGUACUUUGUGAAAAGGCCAGUCAUGAGAUAAAGAUGUCAACCACAGCAAUAGAUAUUAAUAGAAUUUUUAAGAUAGUUUUCAUGCAUUUCAUAAUGAUAAAUAAUGCAUUAAUGAAUUUUCAACUUCACAGGAGACACUGCGUAUCCUCUAGAGCCAUUCCUGAUGACCCCAGUUGGACGGUCGACAACACCUGGGGAGGAGCGCUACAACAAGUCAUCACAGGACAAGAUGCGUUGUCGAACGGACCUUUGGGAUCCUCAAGUCAAGGUGCAGGUGCCUACAUAAGUCAGGAGGAAGUUUGCAGUAUGACCCCAAGAAGACUAUGAAGAUUGCGACUUCUUGUAUGCUCCUGCACAACUACUGAGUGGAUCGCUGCAGAAGAAGUAACAGUUCAGCCUGUGAGAAACAACAGACUGAUUCCUGGUCAAGUUGUCAGGCAGGAAUUUAUUAGAAACUUCUUUUCCUGAGUAUAGAUUGCAUAUGGUGCACCGGUGGCCGAGUGGUCAGCGUGUGUACGUGGUGAUCCAGAGGACUCGACUCCCACCGCAAGACGCUGAGAGUUUUCAACCAUUGACAAGUGGCGGAGGGUUACCAACAUGCUGCCCAGCAGAUCUUCAGUCAACCCUAACUUCAGCGUCUUUGAUCAAGAGGGGCACCACCUCCACACCACUCAUUCUUAUCACCUAGUUUGAUACCCUACUUGUCCAUCUCACAUGCCCCAUGUAUCUCAGCAUUCUGCACUCUUGGCUCCAUGUCAUCCUCUCCAACUUGUUGGUUCGUAUAGCAUAACCGGCCUCACAUACAUAGAAGUGUUCAAUAUACCUAGGCUAUAAUAUUAUAUUUAACGACUCUUAUACGAGGUAUCGCCCCAUACAGAGGUGUCGAAGUAAGUCUGUCUGAUGGUAGGCUGGCUGACUGCUGUCGGGACCCAAGCCAGCAUGCCCUGGGGGUUGUGUGCGGGAGGAGGAAAGAGGGAAAAGGACAAAUGGUGUGUGUGUCAUUAUCAGGGGUAACCACUACUGAGUGCAAACACUCAGUAGUUGUAGUCAAGGCUUAAUUAAGUUGAUGAGUGGUGUUAGACUGAAUGAGCAGGUUUUUUACCACAUGUUAGUGGGAACACUUGAUAGGUUUUGUUUGUGUGUUGGUGCUACUUGUUUCUUGUGUUUACAUGUUAGUUUAUAAUUAGACUGAGUUCUAGGUGUUAUGAGCGACAAUUUAGUCUUGUAUGGCUGAAUCCUGUCCCUUGAACCUUAAUUCAUCAUCAGAAUCUUUAAACAAAUAUAUUUACCUUAAGUAAUAUUCUUAAAGUCACGCUACCCAUAUUAUUUGGCAGAUGAUAACCCUGUGUGCGAUAACGGUGCCUUAUAAGACUUGGUAAAUAAACUACUAAUUUUA